ACGCUGCCAAUUUCCCCUUCUCUGGAACAUAGUCCUUCGUUCGGCAUAAAUGACCACUAGAAAACUCCACCACGUCAAAUGCUUGUUCAUUCAACAAACACUCCCGUCCAUUAUUUCCAAAUAGACGUAUCCCUCGCUUCGCAUUAUUUAUAAAUUAUAAACACAUGUGUUUCUAUCUUACGAGCACACGUACAUUACCUUUUACGGAUAGAUUAAUCACAAACAUCAUCUCUGGGAAAUUUCUCUGCUAUAUACCAAAUUGUACCUUCACUCAUCGACAUUCAGCCCACAUGACGACUGAAAUAGAACUAGCAAAACAAAGUCAACUGAUAAAUAAAAUAGCAAAACGUUAUGAUGAUUCAGCGAUGAGAAUAUUAGUUAUUCGAAGGGGUUCAAUAAUACCUUACAAGAAUUCAAGCCAUAAAGGAAUUUCAGAAUGAUAAUAUUAGUUGACUAAGAGGCAAGAACAUUCAUAGUUUUACAACCUUUUUAUACUAUUGUUCAUGUUUUCCGUACUCAUACACCCCCUCCCUUUGAUUACUAAUAGGGAACAAAGAUUCAAGCUACACUAAUUAAUAAGCAUAUUGAAACAUGGAUGGUCUCCUUGAAGGCGAACAAGACUUACUAUAUUGCUAAAGGAGGCUUAGAUCACGUCAACCCCAACUACUCUUCCGUGCAUAAAGAAGUCGAAUUGGCCUUUAUAAACGACAGGAUCAUAGAGGAGACUAACCAUGAAAUUUCAACGCUCAAGUUCUCUAAUGGCUUUGUAUCAUUGGUCCAUGCUGAAAAUUACCUAAUGGGGUUAUUCUAGGUAAGUAGCCACACCAAUAUGAUGUUAUAUUCAUCCUCUUACAUUCCAAAUCACUAAUUUACAUGAAGUGUUUCAGACUUGCUUUGUGUUUGAGUUUCUGUGAAUCCCCUCAUUCAAAAUGAAAAAAGCAAGAGACGGAAAAUAGUUUUUACAAAUGAUUCUAACAAAUAAUCGAGCACUGAGCAUACAACUAUUCCUCUAUGGAGUCACUUUGCUGAAAAUGACGGCUCAUUCCUAGAAAAGUUGAAAGACGAUAAACCUAUACUUGGCUUAUCUAACAUUAGAGUCUCCAUCUAUAAAGGGACUUUUGGGGUAUCUACAAUUCAUGUGAGCAGCAUCUUGAUCAAUCCAAUGUUCUAAAAAUCAAUAUACCUUCGAGUAAAGGGAGAGUCUACCUAUAGCUAGGUCUUGUUUGAUUAUAGAAAAUAGUCGAGUCGUUUUUUUACUUGUAAAGGGAGAGUCUCCCUCAUUUAUGCUUUCCUAGAUUUUGUGUAAUGAGAGGAUUCCUCUCAUAGGUACUUAGAUGGUUAGGUUCCUUAUUAUUAUGGGGAAGAGUUGGAGAACCUACUAAGGUUACUUAGUAGGUUACCAACUCUUGAACCACCAAACUAUAGGUAAGGUUUAUGUCCCCCUCUGUGUACUUUUGAUUUAUAUCUAUGAUAAAGCCUGUGGUUGUUGCUAAGCCCCUGAACCCUUCAAGGGUCGUUCAAAAA